GAAAGAGAGGGAGAGAGAGAGAAAAGAGAGAGAAAGAGAGGGAGAGAGAGACUACACAGCCACAGGUUGCAUGUGUCUAGGACACGCAGGUCUCAUUAAAGCCCUGGGAGGAGGGAGGUUGGUGGCCAAGGACACUUCACCAAGAGAGAGGAAGAGAGAGAGAGAGAGAGAGAGAGA